CGGGGAAGGAUGAGAAGCUUCGACUAAGGUUCGAUUCGAGCGCAGCGAGAAAGCGUUGCCGCAGGCAACGACCCGAAGGGCGAAGCGCGCAGCGCUGAGUCAUCCUUCCCCCACCACCAUC
rnacentral:sRNA from 2 species